AUUGAACGCUGGCGGCAGGCCUAACACAUGCAAGUCGAGCGGAUGAAGGGAGCUUGCUCCUGGAUUCAGCGGCGGACGGGUGAGUAAUGCCUAGGAAUCUGCCUGGUAGUGGGGGAUAACGUCCGGAAACGGGCGCUAAUACCGCAUACGUCCUGAGGGAGAAAGUGGGGGAUCUUCGGACCUCACGCUAUCAGAUGAGCCUAGGUCGGAUUAGCUAGUUGGUGGGGUAAAGGCCUACCAAGGCGACGAUCCGUAACUGGUCUGAGAGGAUGAUCAGUCACACUGGAACUGAGACACGGUCCAGACUCCUACGGGAGGCAGCAGUGGGGAAUAUUGGACAAUGGGCGAAAGCCUGAUCCAGCCAUGCCGCGUGUGUGAAGAAGGUCUUCGGAUUGUAAAGCACUUUAAGUUGGGAGGAAGGGCAGUAAGUUAAUACCUUGCUGUUUUAACGUUACCAACAGAAUGAGCACCGGCUAACUUCGUG
rnacentral:rRNA from 1 species